rnacentral:rRNA from 1 species
UACGUAGGGGGCUAGCGUUGUCCGGAAUCAUUGGGCGUAAAGCGCGUGUAGGCGGCCCGGUAAGUCCGCUGUGAAAGUCGGGGGCUCAACCCUCGAAUGCCGGUGGAUACUGUCAGGCUCGAGCACAGUAGAGGCAGGUGGAAUUCCCGGUGUAGCGGUGGAAUGCGUAGAGAUCGGGAAGAACAUCAGUGGCGAAGGCGGCCUGCUGGGCUGUUGCUGACGCUGAGGCGCGACAGCGUGGGGAGCAAACAGG